rnacentral:rRNA from 1 species
GUGUCAGCCGCCGCGGUAAUACGGAGGGUGCAAGCGUUAUCCGGAUUCACUGGGUUUAAAGGGUGCGUAGGUGGGUCUGUAAGUCCGUGGUGAAAUCUCCAAGCUUAACUUGGAAACUGCCGUGGAUACUAUAGGUCUUGAAUACCGUGGAGGUGAGCGGAAUAUGUCAUGUAGCGGUGAAAUGCUUAGAUAUGACAUAGAACACCAAUUGCGAAGGCAGCUCACUACACGAUUAUUGACACUGAGGCACGAAAGCGUGGGGAUCAAACAGGAUUAGAAACCCCCGUAGUCC